CUUUGAUACGAAAGUGCAGAGGGAGGGACGAAGGGAGGGGGGAAAGAGACGCGACGAGAGUGCGCAGAUCCCUUUUAUGAAGGCGAACGAAAAAAACCGAAUGAAUGAGCUAUCUACUUUCUGAGGAUAGGAAACAAUUCUGACAUUGCUUACAAAAUGUAGAGGACUAGCUCAUCUACUUAUUGCUAGGAGGCAAGAAUGGACAGCUGCACACUGCAAACUUGAUGAGACCUACUGGACCUCUAGAUCUCUCUUACCUACCAGGCUGUGCCAUCUUCAUACUAUUCAUGAUGAACGGCCACAGGUGUCAAACUCGAUUGUGUCACGUGACUUUCAUAUUGCCAUGUUUUUUGCCUUUGCGGAGCCAGGGUGGGCAUGACCUGCGUGUGACACAUCCGGCCUGCGGGCAGCCAGCUUGACACCCCUGCAUAGAAGAAGCUGACUUCUCAAUAUUUCACUUUCUUUCUAGUGAUAGAGAAGGAUAUUUCUGAUGUUUUCCUCACAACAGUAAACCAAAUAUACUAUCUUCAGCUGGUAUUUAUACAUAAAAAACCACCACAUUGCUGUUGGUGCUAUUAUUAUUUCAUAUUUAGAUAAUGCUGUUGCCAUAUUUAAAAGCAUUUGUAUGCUAGCUAACAUUGGUUAUAAAAGGCCAACUGGGUAUUAACAAGCCAAUACACACAACCAGUUGCUAGUUUAGUAACUGUUAGUUUAAAUAACUGCAAUAUUUAACAGAUGAACAUGCAGUUGGGAUUUCUUUUUUCUGCUCUUUACUUUUUUUUGCUCCUGUGUCUUUAACCGAAAUCUGCCAUGCAAACAUUAAGCAGCUAAUUAUCUCUCCACAACUAUAUUUGCCUCAGGAAAAGCUUCACUUAUUGGUGUUAUUUCUAAAACUAGUCUUUUAGAACUAGUAUAUAAUUCCCUUUGGGAUUUCUUUCAUUUUUCUUCAAUUGCUGUUUGCUGCUUCACUGGCAUUUUCUUCAGCAUGAGAGUUGGAAAGUUGAACUUUAUCCAGCCUUGAAAGACUUCUUAUCUCUCAGCUAAUUACCUUAUAGAGUUGAUAUGCUACAGUAAUCAAAUAAAGGCAGCCUCAAAAUAAUUUAUUUUUAUUUC